rnacentral:misc_RNA from 1 species
ACGAGUAUAUGUUCUUAAAAGCAUACUUUCUAUAACUCUUUAUUCAGAAUUUCUAGAACCUUUUGGAACGACUCAUAAAGGAGAAUGUUUUCACUGGAUGGGACUGUUGGACCAAUUUACCCGAAAAUCUGAAUAUAACAUGUUUUCCAUUUACAAAGUCGUCUUCAUUUUUCUAUUUAGUCAUAUUGUGUGUUUGGGCGGUUUUUUAUUAAAAUAUUUAUUUUCUCCGAACAUAAGAGAAAUAGAGGAUACUGCAGCA